rnacentral:rRNA from 1 species
ACAGGUGCUGCAUGGCUGUCGUCAGCUCGUGCCGUGAGGUGUUAGGUUAAGUCCUGCAACGAGCGCAACCCUCGUCGCUAGUUAAAUUUUCUAGCGAUACUGCCCGUAAAACGAGGAGGAAGGUGGGGAUGACGUCAAGUCAGCAUGGCCCUUACGCCUUGGGCUACACACACGCUACAAUGGGUGAUACAACGGGUUGCGAGAGAGCGAUCUGGAGCUAAUCCCUAAAAUCAUCCUCAGUUCGGAUUGCAGGCUGAAACUGCCUGCAUGAAGUUGGAGUUGCUAGUAACCGCAGGUCAGCACACUGCGGUGAAUACGUUCUCGGGCCUU